CCUACGGGAGGCAGCAGUGGGGGAUAUUGCACAAUGGAGGAAACUCUGAUGCAGCGACGCCGCGUGAGGGAAGACGGUCUUCGGAUUGUAAACCUCUGUCUGUGGGGAAGAAAAUGACGGUAGUCACAGAGGAAGCUCCGGCUAACUACGUGCCAGCAGCAGCGGUAAUACGUAGGGAGCGAGCGUUGUCCGGAGUUACUGGGUGUAAAGGGAGCGUAGGAGGGAGAGAAAUGUGAAUGUUAAAUCUACCGGCUUAACUGGUAGCUGCGUUCAAAACUUCUUGUCUUGAGUGAAGGAGAGGCAAGCGGAAUUCCUAGUGUAGCGGUGAAAUGCGUAGAUAUUAGGAGGAACACCAGUGGCGAAGGCGGCCUGCUGGACUUUAACUGACGUUGAGGCUCGAAAGCGUGGGGAGCAAACAGGAUUAGAUACCCGGGUAGUC
rnacentral:rRNA from 1 species